rnacentral:lncRNA from 1 species
CGUAGGUGCCGCCGGCGUGUACGUCUUUUUCCAUCUUUGCACGUUUGCUAGGCGGGAUUCUAUAAACCUGGAGAGUAAUCCUAAGAAAAAUCAUCAGAAGAAAGGAAUUUGUAGAACUAAAACUGCAAACAUCCAGAAUCUUGAUGGUGUGCCAAGCCAAAUGUCAACUGGAACUCAACCAAAAACUAAAGUGCACUCUGAUAAGAGACCCAAAGAAAG